UGAUUUGAUUGGCUCAUCUUCUUGCUUGGAUCAUGGAGGUUUCACUUGACUGACACCGAAUAAUCUCCCCUGUUCGGUUGAUAGAUCGGGCUGGUUAAAGCUUUGUGAUGUGUAUAUAUAGAGAAAAGGUCGUUUAUGGGGAAAGAGCCCCCGUCUUUCUGAGUUGGCCUCACCAUUUUGUAAGUUAUGAGCGAAGCUCCACUUGGAUGCAUUGAUUAUCUCGAGGUCUUAGUUGCAUGUGAUUGUCAUUCAGUCUCUUUCGUCAAAACUUGAAUUGGACUUGCUUUAAAACUCCCCCAAUAAUAAAUUAUAUUUUAACUA